UACGUAGGGGGCAAGCGUUGUCCGGAUUUAUUGGGCGUAAAGAGCGUGUAGGCGGCCAUACAGGUCAGCUGUGAAAACUCGAGGCUCAACCUCGAGACGUCGGUUGAAACCGUAUGGCUAGAGUCCGGAAGAGGAGAGUGGAAUUCCCGGUGUAGCGGUGAAAUGCGCAGAUAUCGGGAAGAACACCCGUGGCGAAGGCGGCUCUCUGGGACGGUACUGACGCGUGAGACGGCGAAAAGCGUGGGGAGCCGAACAGG
rnacentral:rRNA from 1 species